rnacentral:lncRNA from 10 species
UUCUCAAAAUUUAAAGCAAUGCCUCUUUUCCACUUUUAAAUAAUUUGAAAAUAUGGUAACUUUUAUUAAUAAAUGUGUUAACAGGCUAUGGGUUUAUUAUUAUUAUCACUUUAAAAUGAAUCAAUGAAUAAUUAUUUAAAUUUUUCUCAAAUUUCACUUUGAAAAUGCCAAAGAUUAAUUGAGGUGUAUUGUACAUUUAAAAUACACACCAGAUUUCAAAGAUGUAGUGUGAAUAGAGGAAUAAAACAUAUUUCAUUCAUAAUUUUUAUAUUAAUUACACACGCAAAUGAUAAUUUUUGAAUAUAUUGUUUAAAUAAUAGAGUUAAUUUAGUUGGUUUAAUUUUUUUAAUGUCAUUACUAGACCAUUUAAAACUAUUUGUAUAUGUCUUGCUAUAUUUCUAUUGGCAGUAGUGGUGUAGACAACUGGUUAAUAAAAAGUGUAGAUUUUUUAAAAAUUCGACCCCGCACAGUUUUUUUCAUAUAUUAGCUCCACUUUGAUAGUCAAUAUGAAACUUACCCAAUUGUCCCAUGGAACUGAUGUUUACAUUUUUUAAAAGAAACAUAGAAAUGGACACUCCCAGUCUUAAAACUCGAGAAGCUUACAUUUGUCUUAUCUGAGUUUCUUUCUCAGGAAACCAACCUUUAGGCCCACUGAUGAUAUAAAGAAACUGAAAUUCACCAGAUCAUUCCAUCUGGAGAAUGAGACCACAGCCUCCUCACUCAUCUUGAUUGCCAAACGAAUCACACGUUGCCUGCUGACCAACUACUCGUCCUUACCCCUCCCUAAUUGCUGUUUUUCUGCAGGUGGUCUGGCUCCAGAACUCCUGCUCCGAACUGUCAUCAUGCACUUCAUAUCUAGUCUAUGUUUCUUAACAUGAAAUCAUCAAAACAAACAGGUGAAACUCUAAAAUCUAUCAUAUGGAAUUAGUCAUGGUUCCCUCCACUACCAUUCACCUGAAAAUAUUGACAUUUAUCCACCUACAUAAUCAAGUCCUAGAACCUGAAAAAAAAUCUCAUUAUCCCAUGCCACAUCUCAGUAACUAUAUGUCUUCGGAGCAUACCGCAAUUCCAGGAAGAAAAUGUGAGAAAUCUUCUCUGGAAUGAGAGCCCAGGACUUGGCUGCCAGUAACUGCUGCAGGAGAAACAGCCUUCUCUCCCCUGCGUUUGUGUUUCCAGCAUCCCGGCCUCCCUCCACACUCUGUUACUUCCCUGGUGGAAGAGGGAGAGGAUUAUCUGAGUGGGAAGUUCAGAGAGAAGAAGCUGGCAGGCAUGGUUAAUCCCUUCACUCCUUUCUCUGGGAUUCACCUCUCUGCAAGCUGUUUCUUCUUGACUCUUGGCUUUUGUGCAUUUACAAUAAGACCCCAGGCUCCAGGAAGGGAGCCCGGUGGUAGCACAGACACCUAUGGCUGGGAGGAUGGGUCUCCUAGUUCUAGGGCUCAUUGUUCAGAAGUCCCUAGUACUGCAGUCCUCAGCCAUAUCUUCCCCCAUAGCAGUAAUAAGGCUGAUAUUUUUAUCUCCCUCUACCAAACCUCUGCAUUUAUCUCUUAGGUGGUUCCAAGUCUGAGUGAGUGAGUGUCACUGGUUUUCUUUAAGUCCUCACAGGAAUCCAAGAUCAAGAAUAAAUGUGUUGAAAGAAAUUAAAAUAUUAGCAUCGUAUAUACUUAAAGAUUCAAGAUUCACUUGAUCUACUUAAUUGAAUAUUAGCAAAGAUAAAAGACACGUUCUCAUUUUUCUUCUCUUUGAAGCCUCAUAUAUUCAUGCUUGGGGGCUCAGGAGGCUAAAACAUACUGAGAAUAUACACAUCUGUCUUCCCAAAUCUCUCCUCAAUUUUCACAAAACAUGUUUAAAAACUAUUAAUCUUGUAAACAAAAAAUAUUUGGUUUACUCUUAUAUUUAGAAAACUCUAAAUGUCAAGGAAGCAAAAGUUACAGGUGUGGAAUGCACUACCCUUAAAUUUAGGGUGAACAGGUGAUGGCAGCUGCCACCUGUGGGUUGCAGGGAGUUGACUGUGUGGACUCUUGCUCAUGAUGGCCUGUGAGUAUUCACCUAACACUAUCUGAUAGCAAUAUUUUACAGAAAUUGUCAAAUGCCUCUAGUUUCUUUGCAACAGUCUUAAAGUAAUAAGUGGCCAGACAAUAGAUUAUAAAAUAUAGGGAUGCAUCCCUCUCAAGUUCAGGUCAGGUAUUGUCUACCCCCAGCCCUAGACUAUGGGGCCCUGGAAGGUAAAUUCUCCUUCUUAUUAUUAGCUUUGUUAUCAGAUUGCCUCACAGUACUUAUGUAUAGCUGGCAAUAAAUAUUGCCUAAAACAACAUAAUUGGAUAAUCUGCUAAUGGUAAACAUGAGUCUCAAUAAGAGAACAGAAAAAGUAAGACGAUCUGUUGAGCUUUCUUGUGAGCUAUAUGGUGAAUAAAGUGUUUCUAAUGGUUUCGUGUCUUUUAGAUUUCAGGAUAAAUAGGUGCAUAUGAAUCAGCUGAUUUCUGUUACUGGAGUGCAGUAGUAGUACAGAUUUCCCAAGCUUUGAAUCAACAAACGCAGAAGUCUCUCUAACAUUAGGCCCCUUCCCACUUGUUAUUUUGUUGUUCAUUGCUAUGGGUUACCACAUCUCAUUCUGGAGAAAACAAAGCAGGUUUUCCAAAGUCAGGAAAUCUUACACAUCUUUCCAGAGAAGACCUUAUAUUCGACCCCAUCUCAGUUUCCUCGCCUAACGUAGGAAGCAGGAGACUUCUCCAGUGUCACAAAGCUGAUCAGGCAUGAAAACUGAGUCUCUUAACUCACACACUAGAGUUUUUUGUUUAGCAGUUGUGACCUGGGGUAGACGCUCACUGCAUGUAUUGCCUUUAAGAUGCCUGCUUUUGCACAAUUCACAAUUGCAAAGAUAGGGAACCAACCUAAUCGGCGAUCCACUGAUGAGCGGUAACGAAAAUAUGGUACAUACACACUAUGGAUACUAUUCAGUUAUAAAAAAAGAAUGAAAUGAUGUCUUCUGCAGUAACUUGGAGGGAACUGGAGGCUAUUUUUCUAAAUGAAGUAACUUGGGAAAGGAAAACCAAACACUGCAUGGGAGCUAAGCCAUGGGCAUGCAAGGGCAUACGGGGUGGUUAAUGAACAUUGGAGACCCAGAAGCGUG